CGGGGUGUAGCGCAGUCCGGUAGCGCACCUGCUUUGGGAGCAGGGGGUCCCAAGUUCGAAUCUUGGUACCCCGA
rfam:Bacteroidales bacterium Barb6XT Barb6XT_contig_124, whole genome shotgun sequence.